rnacentral:rRNA from 1 species
UGCAGUCGACGAAUUGAGCUGGGAGCUUGCUUCUAGCAUGGUUAGUGGCGGACGGGUGAGUAACACGUAGGCAACCUGCCCUCAAGAUCGGGAUAACAUUCGGAAACGAAUGCUAAGACCGGAUACACAAUAUUGCCGCAUGGUGAGAUUGGGAAACACGGUGCAAGCUGUGGCUUGGGGAUGGGCCUGCGGCGCAUUAGCUAGUUGGUGGGGUAACGGCUCACCAAGGCGACGAUGCGUAGCCGACCUGAGAGGGUGAACGGCCACACUGGGACUGAGACACGGCCCAGACUCCUACGGGAGGCAGCAGUAGGGAAUCUUCCACAAUGGGCGAAAGCCUGAUGGAGCAACGCCGCGUGAGUGAGGAAGGCCUUCGGGUCGUAAAGCUCUGUUGCCAGGGAAGAAUAAGGGUGAGUUAACUGCUCAUCUGAUGACGGUACCUGAGAAGAAAGCCCCGGCUAACUACGUGCCAGCAGCCGCGGUAAUACGUAGGGGGCAAGCGUUGUCCGGAAUUAUUGGGCGUAAAGCGCGCGCAGGCGGCUCUUUAAGUCUGGUGUCUAAGUGCGGGGCUCAACCCCGUGAUGCACUGGAAACUGGGGAGCUUGAGUGCAGAAGAGGAGAGCGGAAUUCCACGUGUAGCGGUGAAAUGCGUAGAGAUGUGGAGGAACACCAGUGGCGAAGGCGGCUCUCUGGACUGUAACUGACGCUGAGGCGCGAAAGCGUGGGGAGCAAACAGGAUUAGAUACCCUGGUAGUCCACGCCGUAAACGAUGAGUGCUAGGUGUUGGGGGGUAUCAUGCCCUCGGUGCCGAAGUUUAACACAUUAAGCACUCCGCCUGGGGGAGUACGGUCGCAAGACUGAAACUCAAAGGAAUUGACGGGGACCCCGC